CCCUUAGAUGUUCUGGGCUGCACGCGCGCUACACUGACUGGCUCAGCGUGUGCCUACCCUACGCCGGCAGGCGCGGGUAACCCGUUGAACCCCAUUCGUGAUGGGGAUCGGGGAUUGCAAUUAUUCCCCAUGAACGAGGAAUUCCCAGUAAGUGCGGGUCAUGAGCUUGCGUUGAUUAAGUCCCUGCCCUUUGUACACACCGCCCGUCGCUACUACCGAUUGGAUGGUUUAGUGAGGCCCUCGGAUCGGCCCCGCCGGGGUCGGCCCACGGCCCUGGCGGAGCGCUGAGAAGACGGUCGAACUUGACUAUCUAGAGGAAGUAAAAGUCGUAACA
rnacentral:rRNA from 1 species